CAGUGUAGUGUUCUGCUGCUGAGUUUUUCUUUUCCAUCAGAGGAAUCAAAGAAUCUUUUUGAAGAGGAAAAAAGAGGAAGAAGGAGGUGAAUGCACUGAAUGAAUGAUGAAUUAGUGCUCUAAUUGGUUCAUUUCUUUCAACCCAGUACACACAGAGGAUGAUUUUCCUAUUUCCAACUUUGAGUGUUGAUUUAACUUCGCUUGCAUAGCUUCAGGAGACUAUAUUCUAGUACUGAUUUAGAAGCCAAUUGGAUAUGAAUAUGCUGGUGGGGCUAUGUUUGAACCAAGGGAAGCUGAUCUACCUGUGUUGUUUCUGGUUUUGGUUGUGCUUCCUCUUGUUGCUUACAUUUUACUUGGGAAAUGGAGUGAGACUACAAAGAAGAGAGAGAAAAUAGAUUUGCUUGCUCAAUUGACUACUGAAGAGGCACUUAAGGCAGAAGCAAUGCCUUAUGCCACUCCUACUGCUCCUGAUAUUCCUUUCGUGUAUCCUUCAAAGAAUGGAAUUCAUGUAUGCGCUAGAUGCUCAAGUCCAGCUACGACUUGCUGCUCUAGAUGCAAGUCUGUUAGAUACUAGUAUGUUCUUUUUCUUAUUGUGGCAUAAAUGUGUUCAGUAAGAAAGAUGCUUUAUUAUUUUAUUUAUUUAUUUAUUUAUUUUACCGUAGGUAAGUAGGUGUUAAGAUUUGAAACAAAUUGCAUAUUGUGGAAUAGUUUUUCCUCUGGAUAAGGAAAUAGUUAUCAUACAAAUCUUGUUGUACUUUAAUUUAUAUAUAUAUAAGAUUUGUACUUUAAUUUGUAGAAAGUUCAA